GCCCGAGUGGUGAAACUGGUAGACACAAGGGACUUAAAAUCCCUCGACUUCGUGGUCGUGCCGGUUCGAUUCCGGCCUCGGGCACCA
rnacentral:tRNA from 1 species